rnacentral:misc_RNA from 1 species
UCCAAUGCGUCUGGGGCCGGCCCAAACGUCGUGCCCUGACCAAAUACACCCUUGAUUUUUGCGUACACAUAGUUUCCUCGGCAGGCUUGCCUGCCAGCAGGACCCUCCUUUAAACUCAUUGCAGUUGCAAUCAGCGUCAGAAAACUUCAAUCGUUA